rnacentral:tRNA from 1 species
GCGAAGGUGGCGGAAUUGGUAGACGCGCUAGCCUCAGGUGUUAGUGUUCUUACGGACGUGGGGGUUCAAGUCCCCCCCCUCGCACCA